rnacentral:rRNA from 1 species
GACAGAGGGGGCAAGCGUUGCUCGGAAUUACUGGGCGUAAAGGGCGCGUAGGCGGGAUGGCAAGUCGGUCGUGAAAUCCCUCGGCUCAACUGAGGAUCGUCGAUCGAUACUGCCGUUCUUGAGGAUUGCAGAGGAGACUGGAAUUCCCGGUGUAGCGGUGAAAUGUGUAGAGAUCGGGAGGAACACCGGUGGCGAAGGCGGGCCUCUGGGCAAUUCCUGACGCUGAGGCGCGAAAGCGUGGGGAGCAAACGGG